UACAGAGGGGGCAAGCGUUGUUCGGAAUUACUGGGCGUAAAGGGCGCGUAGGCGGCCUUCUAAGUCGAACGUGAAAGCCCCGGGCUCAACCUGGGAAUGGCGAUGGAUACUGGCUCGCUAGAGUGCGGUAGAGGAGAGUGGAAUUCCCGGUGUAGCAGUGAAAUGCGUAGAGAUCGGGAGGAACAUCAGUUGCGAAGGCGGCUCUCUGGACCAGCACUGACACUGAGGCACGAAAGCGUGGGGAGCAAACAGG
rnacentral:rRNA from 1 species